CGAGGCGGGCACAGCACGUCCGCCACGUACUCACGGACCGGCGCGGCGCUGCCUCGUGUCCUCGCGCCUGUAGAAGCAGCUGCCCGAUAAGGCCCGACACUCUUUGGAAUUCGGUACAUCCUUUCUUGGUGACCGAAGCGAUCAAUAGGGACGGUGCAGCCCAAACGCCCGAGCUGGGCGGGACGGGGCAAGGAUGUCGGCUCCCCCGGCAGCCUCCGGAGCGACUCGCCGGCGCCAGCCGGCCGGACUCUCCUGCGCCCAGCRCGACGCAGCGCAGGGGAAGGGCGCACCCUCGCCGCCGCUCAGGAAGAUGGAGCUUUGCAGGAUGCUGACAUGAUGUCACUGGAAUUCCUAUAUGGGACUACAGCAAAACAGCCUGUUGCAAGUCUUUCAAUCCAUAGAUACAGGGACGUUGCCAGCCCACAAGUUAACAUAUCUGUGGCACUGAUUCUGCCACUGUGUGUGUGAAAAUGUCUACCAGAGUGAGUACUUCAGGUAAACUGAGAAAAACCUCAAGUUUCUAGAAACUCGUUCAGCUUGGCAUU
rnacentral:lncRNA from 1 species